UACGUAGGGUGCAAGCGUUGUCCGGAAUUAUUGGGCGUAAAGAGCUCGUAGGCGGUUCGUCGCGUCGGCUGUGAAAUCCCGAGGCUCAACCUCGGGUCUGCAGUCGAUACGGGCGGACUGGAGUUCGGCAGGGGAGACUGGAAUUCCUGGUGUAGCGGUGAAAUGCGCAGAUAUCAGGAGGAACACCGGUGGCGAAGGCGGAUCUCUGGGCCUUACCUGACGCUGAGGCGCGAAAGCUAGGGGAGCAAACAGG
rnacentral:rRNA from 1 species